rnacentral:rRNA from 1 species
ACGAACGCUGGCGGCGUGCUUAACACAUGCCAGUCGAACGGAAAGGCCCUGCUUUUGUGGGGUGCUCGAGUGGCGAACGGGUGAGUAACACGUGAGUAACCUGCCCUUGACUUUGGGAUAACUUCAGGAAACUGGGGCUAAUACCGGAUAGGAGCUCCUGCUGCAUGGUGGGGGUUGGAAAGUUUCGGCGGUUGGGGAUGGACUCGCGGCUUAUCAGCUUGUUGGUGGGGUAGUGGCUUACCAAGGCUUUGACGGGUAGCCGGCCUGAGAGGGUGACCGGCCACAUUGGGACUGAGAUACGGCCCAGACUCCUACGGGAGGCAGCAGUGGGGAAUAUUGCACAAUGGCGGAAGCCUGAUGCAGCAACGCCGCGUGCGGGAUGACGGCCUUCGGGUUGUAAACCGCUUUCGCCUGUGACGAAGCGUGAGUGACGGUAAUGGGUAAAGAAGCACCGGCUAACUACGUG